rnacentral:rRNA from 1 species
AGUGAACGCUGGCGGUAGGCCUAACACAUGCAAGUCGAACGGCAGCACAGUAAGAGCUUGCUCUUACGGGUGGCGAGUGGCGGACGGGUGAGGAAUACAUCGGAAUCUACUUUUUCGUGGGGGAUAACGUAGGGAAACUUACGCUAAUACCGCAUACGACCUACGGGUGAAAGCAGGGGAUCUUUGGACCUUGCGCGAUUGAAUGAGCCGAUGUCGGAUUAGCUAGUUGGCGGGGUAAAGGCCCACCAAGGCGACGAUGCGUAGCUGGUCUGAGAGGAGGAUCAGCCACACUGGAACUGAGACACGGUCCAGACUCCUACGGGAGGCAGCAGUGGGAAAUAUUGGACAAUGGGCGCAAGCCUGAUCCAGCCAUUCCGCGUGGGUGAAGAAGGCCUUCGGGUUGUAAAGCCCUUUUGUUGGGAAAGAAAAGCAGCAGGUUAAUACCCCGCUGUUCUGACGGUACCCAAAGAAUAAGCACCGGCUAACUUCGUG